GCCUCUUUCUAUUCCUGGACAUUCCCCAGGGGAGCAACUGAGCCCUCCAGACAAACACUCCCUAUAUAAGGCUGGAGCAACUCAAUUAUAUCACAUACCACAAACCACAAGAUACACCCCAUAAUCAUCAGUGGCCAUGCCCCUGUUACAUUCAAAUGGAACCCAUCAAACGGACGUCUGAGGAAACACGAUCACUCAUUGAGUGGUGAGCUGCCAACGAGAGCCUUUUCACAGGCAGGAGAAACUCGUCCAGAAGUGGAUGGGAGGACUUUAUUACCCCUUCUGGUCUUGGCAUAACAGCCAAACAGGCCAAAAAAAUGGAAUAAUCUGAAAGACAAAUACAAGGAGCUUAGGGACCCACCACGGGCAAAGGGGUAGAGGCUGGUAGUGAGACGGCUGCCACCUGGCAGUGGUACAGUGCUAUGGAUGCAGCACUCCAGGGACAGCACUCAAUCAAUCCUCCCCUGGUUGUUGCAUCCAACUUCACUGCCACUGCAGGUGGCACAGUGAGCACACCAGCCUCUACCCCUUCUGCAGAAGAGGCCAGUGUCAGCCAGCCACAAAGGAAGAGGCCCAGGGACCGGGAGAGUCUUCUGGCCUUCAUGAAGGAGCAGGCAGAGAGGGAUGAGCAGAGGGAGAGAGAGGCAUUGGCCGAGAAGAGGAGAGAGAGAUGGCAUCCACUGAGUGGGCAGAGAGAUAUUUGGGAUUGUUCGAAAAACUUGUAAAUACAUUUUAAAAUGAGAAAAACCAAAAUGAUUAAAUGGCUUUUAUUUCAGUUAUUAACUAUUUACAGUCAUGCAGAGAAUUUUAAUUGAGUCAGAACAUGAAAAAGAACAUUCCAACAAAUGAAGAUAUACAACGUAUUUAUAUC